CACCUGGGCUGAAACCCCAACCGCACCCGAAACCCUACCGCCGCAAAAUUCCUCAUCCUACCGCCGCCUUGCCGCACGUCUCGGUCCCAUGCCCACGCCCGGCCGCCGUCUCCCUCUGCCCCCGCGCUCGGUGCGCCUCGACCACGUCAUCCCCGCUGACGCCGCCGAGCUCGGCCUCGGUACGGGCGGGCUCCUGUCCGCCGCCAUCGAGAACCUCGAGCGCAAGCCCGCCGCGCGGCCGACGACAAGGCCCCGCUCGCCGACCUCUCCCCGCGGGAGCUCCAGCUCGUGCUCGUCUACUUCACGCAGUAGGGCCGUGACGCCCCUACUGCGUGCUCCUCGAGGUCUUCGACUGGCUGCGUCGCGCCGACUGCAUCGAUGGCGAGACCAUGGAGCUCAUGACCGCGCCAUCGCCUGCGGCUGGAUCGAGCGCCUCGUGGGGGCCGGCGGCGACGUCUUCGACGUCUCCGCGCUGCUCGGGGAGGUGGACUGCGUCGGCCUGCACCCUGGGUUCAGCCGCGUCGUGAAGGCCACCGUGCUCUACUGGGACCGCAGCGAGAGGGCGCACGCUGUCGAGUUCGUCAGGGACGUGCUCAGGAGGGGUAGUGUCAGCGCGGGAGCGGACUACGACGGCAAGACUAGCGAUGGCCAGGGCGGAGUUCAAAUUCCACCGUCACCACGCAAUCCAAUUCCCCUCUCCCCAAAACAUGCCAAGUUCAUGACAUCCCUCGCCCAAAUAUUAUCACUAGGGUUCGUGGCCAGGAAUCGACUUCCAGCACCCAGCGUUCCGCAGCGCAGGGCCCUCCCACGGAUUCCUCGGCAUGGGCUCCCGCAGGACCUGUUCUACAUCGACUGGGAGGAGAUCCUCCGCUUGAUUUGUCAGCUGCAGACUACGUUCCACUUAUGGGAGCAAGUUGCAUCAAUCACCGGAGAAGAUGUUCAAGGUGGAUGAGCAGGAAAAGAAAAUUUCAGUUGUAUCAAGAGAUCCAUCACGUUAUCGACUUGAUGAAGUUGAACUCUCUUGUUGUAUCCAGGUGUCGAUGUAUUGUCUGAAAUUUGAUUAUCCUGGAUCCAAAUAGAACUACACCUGGUUCCAGUAGGAAACUUCUCAGCUGCUGAGGCCGAUGUGCACAAACAUAGGAAUGCACUGGGACUGAAAAGCAAAUGAAAACCACAAAGAACCUGUCUACAUGGCUUAUAGCAGAUCUGUUACAAUAUAAUACACCUGGAGGCCAUAGACAACACGACGGGUUCAAGCAUGUUCACAGAGUUACACAGAUGACGGGGCUGCUAUCCAUAAAGAUGGAGCUUAGAGACCAUGUUUAGAGCUCUGCUCUUCUGUAUCAAUUUAGUGUGUAGCAGUUGAUGAGCUACAAUUCUGUCAUCCUGAGGAUAUACCAACAUCAGAGAGCUUCUGGUUGCCACUUGUGGGUGUGACAUGUACAUUCGGAUCAAUCUUUCUCCAAUCCCCACGAGCAACAGGGUUGUAUGCAAGAAUUCUUUGGUAGCUAGUUCAUGCAAUCCAGGGAAAGGUCACAUACAAUAGAAGAUAGGUAUGUAGACAAAGGCAUAAAGCAGCAGAGAGGUAACUGCUACCGUACCAAGGUGUUCGUCAGUUUGUCUGGAAAUACUACAAAGAGGAUGAAGAAGCUGCAAGCCAAGGACACGCUGGAGUUCUUCAACGAGGUCAUGGUGGAGCAGCCUCUUGCUCCUCUUCCUGACCCUCUUAGCCUCUUCGCAUGGUUUGUCGAGCGCCGAGCCAUGCCUUUCUCCAACAGGGUUCCCUCUUAGGCUGUCGUUUGGGCGAUGAUUCAUGUAGUUAUCAUUUCUCCUCUAUGGUGUUGUUGAGGUGAUUAGAGUCAUAUGUUUUGAUGACCUCGGAUCAGUUUUGUCUGGUAACAUUUUGAAUUAAUAAGAGCAUUAUCUCUGGGAUUGGGCUUUAAGAAGAUAUUUUGUAUGUUAGAAGUAAAUUUGGCAGGGAAGUGGGGCAUAAAGUGUUCAUCUGUGACAAGAAAAAGGCCAUUGAAGCCGAUAAGGGUCCCGAGAGACAAAAUGGAGAAGUAGUGUGAACUACAUUUGGGAAAGAAAA